GGUAGGUCAGCUUUUUAAUGUAUUUGCUCCUUUUCUUAUUCAUUGACCUGUGAAAGGAAAAUAUCUUGGACCUCCAAAAUCACUAAGGAAAACUCGAGCUGGAUAUUGCUUAGGGCAAACCUGCCUCCCAUUCUAUUCAAAGUCACAGAGCAUUACAAGAAGCGUAUUAUUAUUAUGCUUAAAUUAGAAUAUUAAAAGAGGAGCCCCAAAAUAUCUCUUUAGGUUCAUCCCACCUAAUUCACUUUGCCUUUAGGCAGGCUUUGCCAUGAAUUUUCUACUCACAAGAUAAAUUUCUAAUGAUUGUGCUCCCCAUCCUGUAAAACAAAAUAUUUUUCUUUUAAACUUUUGUUUUGAAAUAAUUUUAGAUUUACAGAAGAGUUGCAAAAGUAGUACAGAGUUUUUACAUACCCUUCAUCCAGUGUCCCCAAAUGUUAACAUUUUAUAUAAGCAUGGUAUAUUUAUCAAAACUAAGAAAUUAACAUCAGUACAUUCCUAUCAACUAAGCUUCGGACUUUGUUAAAAUUUUGUCUGUUUUUCUACUCGUGUUCUUUUUCUGUUUCAGUAUCCAAUUGAGAACACCACAUACACCUAGUCAUCAUGUCUCUUCAGUCAGAGGACACAGCAUUUAAUGUUGAAUGCUAAAAAAGAAUUUCUGAGUCUUUCCAAGAGGAAACAAUGUUGGAAGAACCCCAGGAGUCUGUCUUCCCAAUUGCCCUGUUUUCUACUUCUCCUAAGGAUGA
rnacentral:lncRNA from 10 species